UGGCGCUAUCGUCUAAUGGUUAGGACAUCAGAUUUUCAAUCUGACAAUCCGGGUUCGAUUCCCGGUAGCGCUAU
rnacentral:tRNA from 1 species